UACAGAGGGUGCGAGCGUUGUCCGGAAUCACUGGGCGUAAAGGGCGCGUAGGUGGUGGCUUAAGCGUGCGGUGAAAGCUCGGAGCUCAACUCCGAGUCGGCCGUGCGAACUGGGCUCACUGGAGCAUAGUAGAGGCAGGUGGAAUUCCGGGUGUAGCGGUGGAAUGCGUAGAGAUCCGGAAGAACACCGGUGGCGAAAGCGACUUUCUGGUCCUUAACUGACGCUGAGGCGCGAAAGCAUGGGGGAGCGAACGGG
rnacentral:rRNA from 1 species